rnacentral:rRNA from 1 species
UACGAAGGGUGCAAGCGUUACUCGGAAUUACUGGGCGUAAAGCGUGCGUAGGUGGUUUGUUAAGUCUGUUGUGAAAUCUCCCGGCUCAACUGGGAGGGUGCGCCGAAUACUGAAUGACUAGAGUGCGGGAGAGGAAAGUGGAAUCCUGGUGUAGCGGUGAAAUGCGUAGAUAUCAGGAGGAACACCGGUGGUGUAGACGGCUUCUGGACCGUAACUGACGCUGAGACACGAAAGCGUGGGUAGCAAACAGG